rnacentral:rRNA from 1 species
UGGGGAAUAUUGCACAAUGGGCGCAAGCCUGAUGCAGCCAUGCCGCGUGUAUGAAGAAGGCCUUCGGGUUGUAAAGUACUUUCAGCGAGGAGGAAGGCGUUGUGGUUAAUAACCGCAGCGAUUGACGUUACUCGCAGAAGAAGCACCGGCUAACUCCGUGCCAGCAGCCGCGGUAAUACGGAGGGUGCAAGCGUUAAUCGGAAUUACUGGGCGUAAAGCGCACGCAGGCGGUCUGUCAAGUCGGAUGUGAAAGCGCCGGGCUCAACCUGGGAACUGCAUCCGAAACUGGCAGGCUGGAGUCUUGUAGAGGGGGGUAGAAUUCCAGGUGUAGCGGUGAAAUGCGUAGAGAUCUGGAGGAAUACCGGUGGCGAAGGCGGCCCCCUGGACAAAGACUGACGCUCAGGUGCGAAAGCGUGGGGAGCAAACA